rnacentral:rRNA from 1 species
GAUUCGUCACACUAUCAUUAACUGAAUCCAUAGGUUAAUGAGGCGAACCGGGGGAACUGAAACAUCUAAGUACCCCGAGGAAAAGAAAUCAACCGAGAUUCCCCCAGUAGCGGCGAGCGAACGGGGAGGAGCCCAGAGCCUGAAUCAGCAUGUGUGUUAGUGGAAGCGUCUGGAAAGGCGCGCGAUACAGGGUGACAGCCCCGUACACAAAAGCGCAUGUGCUGUGAGCUCGAUGAGUAGGGCGGGACACGUGGUAUCCUGUCUGAAUAUGGGGGGACCAUCCUCCAAGGCUAAAUACUCCUGACUGACCGAUAGUGAACCAGUACCGUGAGGGAAAGGCGAAAAGAACCCCGGCGAGGGGAGUGAAAAAGAACCUGAAACCGUGUACGUACAAGCAGUGGGAGCCCCACCACCAAAGCA